UACGGAGGGUGCGAGCGUUGUCCGGAAUCAUUGGGCGUAAAGCGCACGUAGGCGGCUUUGUAAGUUAGAGGUGAAAGCCUGGAGCUCAACUCCAGAAUUGCCUUUAAGACUGCAUCGCUUGAAUCCAGGAGAGGUGAGUGGAAUUCCGAGUGUAGAGGUGAAAUUCGUAGAUAUUCGGAAGAACACCAGUGGCGAAGGCGGCUCACUGGACUGGUAUUGACGCUGAGGUGCGAAAGCGUGGGGAGCAAACAGG
rnacentral:rRNA from 1 species